rnacentral:rRNA from 1 species
GGGAUCUUAGGACCUCUCGCUACAGGGGCGGCCGAUGGCAGAUUAGCUAGUUGGUGGGGUAAAGGCCUACCAAGGCGACGAUCUGUAGCUGGUCUGAGAGGACGACCAGCCACACUGGGACUGAGACACGGCCCAGACUCCUACGGGAGGCAGCAGUGGGGAAUUUUGGACAAUGGGCGCAAGCCUGAUCCAGCAAUGCCGCGUGUGUGAAGAAGGCCUUCGGGUUGUAAAGCACUUUUGUCCGGAAAGAAAACACGCCUGUUAAUACCGGGUGUGGAUGACGGUACCGGAAGAAUAAGCACCGGCUAACUACGUGCCAGCAGCCGCGGUAAUACGUAGGGUGCAAGCGUUAAUCGGAAUUACUGGGCGUAAAGCGUGCGCAGGCGGUUCGCUAAGACAGAUGUGAAAUCCCCGGGCUUAACCUGGGAACUGCAUUUGUGACUGGC